GGGGGUAUAGUUUAACGGAAAAAUAAGGUAGCGUAUUUACGUGAAAAGGUAUUAUCCGAAUAGAUACAGGUUCGAAUCCUGUUACCUCCA
rnacentral:tRNA from 1 species